UACGUAGGGGGGCAAGCGUUGUCCGGAUUUACUGGGCGUAAAGAGCGUGUAGGCGGCCAAGCAGGUCCGUUGUGAAAACUGGAGGCUUAACCUCCAGACGUCGACGGAAACCGCGUGGCUAGAGUCCGGAAGAGGAGAGUGGAAUUCCUGGUGUAGCGGUGAAAUGCGCAGAUAUCAGGAAGAACACCAAUGGCGAAGGCAGCUCGCUGGGACGGUACUGACGCUGAGGCGCGAAAGCGUGGGGAGCGAACAGG
rnacentral:rRNA from 1 species